rnacentral:rRNA from 1 species
GACGAACACUGGCGGCGUGCUUAACACAUGCAAGUCGAACGGUGAAGCGCCUUCCUUUUUGGUGGGUGUGGAUGAGUGGCGAACGGGUGAGUAACACGUGAGUAACCUGCCCCCUUCUUCUGGAUAACCGCAUGAAAGUGUGGCUAAUACGGGAUAUUCUGGGUCUGUCGCAUGAUGGGUCUGGGAAAGAUAUUGUUUCGGUGGGGGAUGGGCUCGCGGCCUACCAGCUUGUUGGUGGGGUGAUGGCCUACCAAGGCGGUGACGGGUAGCCGGCCUGAGAGGGUGGACGGUCACACUGGGACUGAGACACGGCCCAGACUCCUACGGGAGGCAGCAGUGGGGAAUAUUGCACAAUGGGCGCAAGCCUGAUGCAGCGACGCCGCGUGAGGGAUGGAGGCCUUCGGGUUGUGAACCUCUUUCGCCAGUGAAGCAGGCCUGCCUCGUUUGUGGGUGGGUUGACGGUAGCUGGAUAAGAAGCGCCGGCUAACUACGUG